rnacentral:rRNA from 1 species
UACGGGGGGGAGCAAGCGUUGUUCGGAUUUACUGGGCGUAAAGGGCGCGUAGGCGGUCAGCACAAGUCAGUUGUGAAAUCUCCGGGCUUAACCCGGAAAGGUCAACUGAUACUGUGCGACUAGAGUGCGGAAGGGGCAACUGGAAUUCUCGGUGUAGCGGUGAAAUGCGUAGAUAUCGAGAGGAACACCUGCGGCGAAGGCGGGUUGCUGGGCCGACACUGACGCUGAUGCGCGAAAGCCCAGGGGAGCGAACGGG